CUGUAUGGUUCCUCUGACUUCCACUGUUUCCAGAACAACGCACACAUCUGACUUCCACUGUUCUCUUUAGAACAACAGAAAACAUUGACUUCAGAACAUCUGUAUUGGUCUCCUCUGACUUCCACUAUUCUCUUCAGAACAACCGAAAACAUCUGACUUCAGAACAUCUGUACUGGUCUCUCUCUUCCACUGUUCUCUUCAGAACAACAGAAAAAUCUGACUUCCACUUUUCUCUUCAGAAACACAACAACAUCUGAAUCCCUGUUCUCUUCAGAACAACAGAAAACAUCUGACUCCACUGUUCUUUUCAGAACAACAGAAAAACAUCUGACUUAGAACAACAGCACACAUCUGCUUCCACUGUUCUCUUCAGAACAACAGAAAACAUCUGACUUCAGAACAUCUGUAUUGGUCUCCUCUGACUUCCACUGUUCUCUUCAGAACAACAGAAAACAUCUUGACUUCCACUGUUCUCUUCAGAACAACAGCACCAUCUGACAUCCACUGUUCUCUUCAGAAACACAGCACACAUCUGACUUCACUGUUCUCUUCAGAACAACAGAAAACAUCUGACUUCAGAACAUCUGUAUUGGUCUCCUCUGACUUCCACUGUUCUCUUCAGAACAACAGCACACAUCUGACUUCCACUGUUCUCUUCAGAACAACAGCACACACUGACUUCCACUGUUCUCUUCAGAAACAACAGCACACAUUGACUUCCACUGUUCUCUUCAGAACAUCUGUAUUGGUCUCCUCCAACUUCCACUGUUCUCUUCAGAACAACAGAACACAUCUGACAUCCACCGUUCUCUUCAGAACAACAGAACACAUCUGACAUCCCCUGUUCUCUUCAGAACAACCGAACAAUCUGACUUCCACUGUUCUCUUAGAACAACAGAACACAUCUGACUUCCACUGUUUCUUCAGAACACAGAACACUUCUGACUUCCACUGUUCUCUCAGAACAACAGAACAACUCUGACUUCCACUGUUCUCUUCAGAACAACAGAACACAUCUGACUUCCACUGUUUUCUUCAGAACAACAGAACACAUCUGACUUCCACUGUUCUCUCAGAACAACAGACACAUCUGACUUCCACUGUUCUCUUCAGAACACAGAACACAUCUGACUUCCACUGUUCUCUUCAGAAAACCUAACACAUCAGCUGUUCUCUUCAGAACAACAGAACAACACAUCUGACUUCCACUGUUCUCUUCAGAACAACAGAAACAUCUGACUUCCACUGUUCUCUUCAGAACAACCAUCACACUCAGCUGUUCUCUUCAGAACAACAGAACACAUCUGUAUUGGUCUCCUCUGACUUCCACCGUUCUUUUCCCCUCUUCUUUUGAAUGGUUGAAGGAUGGAGGAUAGAUAGAAGCUUGUCCAGUUUGGUCCAACUAUUCACCUACACAGGGAUAUUAGAAUCCUGUAAUGACGCUGGGAGCUGGCGUCUGCUGUUACCCUUCUAGACCAGCCUGCAAUGCACCCCUCUAUGGAUACAUUUGGUUUUGGCUGAUUGGUUCCCCUUUGUGUGUCUACCAUUGCCUAUCAUAAGUGCCACUCCUCUCCGCUGUGCAUGUAUAAGCAUCAUGGAAGGUCAGAGUUCACUGCUGAUUUUUGAAGAGCGGACGGGCAUCGAGAGUCCAGGUUGCUACGACUAAAGCAGCUCUCUCUUCUCCUUCGGAACAUUAAAAUUAUUCUACCCCUGCAACCGUCCCAGUAAAGAUUGAGAGAGUCCACUAUCUUUACAGAUCAGCCUAUGAAACGUGUAACACCCACAUCAUACCCACAAGUAAGCUAUAUACAUAUACAUAUAUAGAUAUAUAUAUAUAUAUAUAAAACAUGUUUAUUUUUUUGCUCUGUCACUCUUAUAUAAUAAAUUGACAUAUAUAGUCCAACCAUAAAGAUUACUGAGUGUCGAAAAAAUAUUAUUCUGUACUUUGGCUAAGAUUUAUAAAUCAUGAGACUGAACUACAUCAAAAUAAAUGGUGUGAAGUGUAUGUAUCUUAAAGCUUUGCUUUAAAACAAUUCACUGCAUUACUUUGUUUAUGUUAUGAGUCUUUGUAUAAAGCAUCCUUUGGUAUGGGGGAGAAAGAGCGUCUAGCAAAGUUCUUUGUUGCAGAAUUGUGCCAACAUUUUAAAAAAACAUGUCAAAAUAAACCUGCCUAAAAUGGAAUGGCCAGAGUGAAGCACUUACACUUCAUAUGAAAUAUCAAUGCACCUAUGUGUAGCUGUGUGUUCACCGCAUGUUUGGAGGCCAGAUAUUCUUUCCGUGACUACUUCCUCUAUCUAACAUCGCAGGUUUAGUGAAGCACCACCGAAUUAAAAUCUUAAGCAAUUAGUCAUGUUGUUAUGUAGGGCCUACUGCCCUCAUGUGGUGAACCAACGUUUGACCACCCAUUGUGUUUUUACUCCGGCGUUUUAACUGUGAUUUCAAUAAUGACCUUCAAUGGACCAGCGAAACUCAAAUGGCU
rnacentral:lncRNA from 1 species